CCUACGGGAUGCAGCAGUGGGGAAUAUUGCACAAUGGGGGAAACCCUGAUGCAGCGACGCCGCGUGAGUGAAGAAGUCUCUCUGUACGUAAAGCUCUAUUUGCAGGGAAGAAAAUGACGGUACCCGACUAAGACUCCCCGGCUCACUCCGUGCCAGCAGACGCGGUAAUACGUAGGGGGCAAGCGUUAUCCGGAUUUACUGGGUGUAAAGGGAGCGUAGACGGUAGCACAAGUCUGGAGUGAAAUCCCGGGGCUUAACCCCGGAACUGCUUUGGAAACUGUGCGGCUGGAGUGCAGGAGGGGUAAGCGGAAGUCCUAGUGUAGCGGUGAAAUGCGUAGAUAUAAGUAAGAACACCAGUGGCGAAGGCAGCUUGCUGGGUCGAGACUGACAUUGAGGCACGAAAGCGUGGGGAGCAAACAGGAUUAGAUACCCGAGUAGUC
rnacentral:rRNA from 1 species